rnacentral:rRNA from 1 species
UUCCUACGGGGGGCAGCAGUGGGGAAUAUUGCACAAUGGGGGAAACCCUGAUGCAGCAACGCCGCGUGAGUGAAGAAGGUUUUCGGAUUGUAAAGCUCUGUUAGCAGGGAAGAGGAAGGACGGUACCUGCAGAGGAAGCCACGGCUACCUACGUGCCAGCAGCCGCGGAAAUACGUAGGUGGCACGCGUUGUUCGGAAUAACUGGGCGUAAAGGAUGCGUAGGCGGUUAAACAAGGUAUAUGUUAAAUAUAUAGACUUAACCUGUAGAAUGCAUAUAAAAAUGUUUAACUAGAGUGAAGGAGAGG